rnacentral:lncRNA from 1 species
AAGAAGAAAAUGAAGUUCUGCGUCAGAAGCUUUUUGCAUUGCAAGCUGAAAUCCACCGACUGAAGAAAGAGGAGCAACAGCCAGAAGAGGAAGAGGCCUUGGUCCAACACAAAUUGCCUCCUUAUGUCUCCAACAUGGACCGCCUGGGGGACUCGGAACUCCCUCUGACCCUGUGGUGUGUUUGCUGACCAGUGCCAUGGUGUGCAGCCAAAGGAAUGCCUCCCUCUCCCAGUCACCUCGUGUGGGCUUCCUGUCCUCGCUGCUGCCUCAGAGUAAGAAGAGCCCCUCAAGGUUGUCGCCUGCUCAGGGCCCUCCUCAACCUCAGAGCUCGGCCAAGAAAGAGUCCUUCGGUGGUCAGGGCACCAAGGGAAAGGACCCGACGUCCGGAGCCAAGGAUGGGAAGAGCCUCCUCAGCGGGCUGGCCACUGGGGAGUCCGGUUGGUCACAGCACCGGCAGCGGCGCCUGCAGGACCAUGGCAAGGAGAGGAAGGAGCUUUUCUCCACAACCACUUCCCAGUGUGCAGAGAAGAAACCAGAAGCCAGUGGCCCAGAGGCUGAGCCCUGCCCAGAGCUCCACACGGA